rnacentral:rRNA from 1 species
UACGGAGGAUGCAAGCGUUAUCCGGAAUGAUUGGGCGUAAAGCGCCCGCAGGUGGCAAUGUAAGUCUGCUGUCAAAGCGUCUGGCUCAACCAGAUAAAGGCAGUGGAAACUACAUAGCUAGAGUAAGGUAGGGGUAGAGGGAAUUCCUGGUGUAGCGGUGAAAUGCGUAGAGAUCAGGAAGAACACCGGUGGCGAAAGCGCUCUGCUGGACCUUAACUGACACUGAGGGACGAAAGCUAGGGGAGCGAAUGGG